rnacentral:lncRNA from 1 species
UCUCAGAACUGAAAUUGCCCUUAAUCACAUCUGAGUAUGCAUGUUUAGAAUCAAGUGAUAUCCUUCCAGCACCUAUUGCAUCAAACUCAACUCCUAACCCAAAAACUCAAUUUAUGAGCAUCUUAGAAGAACAAAUAGGAAAAAUUCUCAACAAACAAGGGUCUAUAAAUAGAUUUAUAAAUUAUCUUCUGAAAAUUAAGAAUGGAGAUGUAAAAUAUUUUUUGAAGAUUGAUAAUAAAAUAUUAAAAUUUAUGAUAGACCAUCUUCUUGAGAUUGGCAAUCCAAAAUCAUUAAAAUUUAUCAAUCCAAUAUUUGACAUGGGGUA